rnacentral:rRNA from 1 species
AGGGAAUCUUCCACAAUGGACGCAAGUCUGAUGGAGCAACGCCGCGUGAGUGAAGAAGGUCUUCGGAUCGUAAAGCUCUGUUGUUGGUGAAGAAGGAUAGAGGCAGUAACUGGUCUUUAUUUGACGGUAAUCAACCAGAAAGUCACGGCUAACUACGUGCCAGCAGCCGCGGUAAUACGUAGGUGGCAAGCGUUGUCCGGAUUUAUUGGGCGUAAAGCGAGCGCAGGCGGAAUGAUAAGUCUGAUGUGAAAGCCCACGGCUCAACCGUGGAACUGCAUCGGAAACUGUCAUUCUUGAGUGCAGAAGAGGAGAGUGGAACUCCAUGUGUAGCGGUGGAAUGCGUAGAUAUAUGGAAGAACACCAGUGGCGAAGGCGGCUCUCUGGUCUGCAACUGACGCUGAGGCUCGAAAGCAUGGGUAGCGAACAGGAUUAGAUACCCUGGUAGUC